AAGACUAUACUUUCAGGAAUCAUUUCUAUAGUUUGUUACUAGAGAAGUUUCUCUGAAUGUGUAGAGCAAAAUAUAUA
ensembl:snoRNA U3 Small nucleolar RNA U3